AGGAAUUUAGGUUAAGCAAAACUUUAAAUUUUCAAAAUUUAAAAUGAAAGAUAGAUUUUUCAGUUUCUA
rnacentral:tRNA from 1 species